rnacentral:rRNA from 1 species
UGCAAGUCGAACGAGUGCCUUCGGGUGCUAGUGGCGCACGGGUGCGUAACGCGUGGGAAUCUGCCCUUUGGUUCGGAAUAACAGUUGGAAACGACUGCUAAUACCGGAUGAUGACGAAAGUCCAAAGAUUUAUCGCCAGAGGAUGAGCCCGCGUAGGAUUAGCUAGUUGGUGUGGUAAAGGCGCACCAAGGCGACGAUCCUUAGCUGGUCUGAGAGGAUGAUCAGCCACACUGGGACUGAGACACGGCCCAGACUCCUACGGGAGGCAGCAGUGGGGAAUAUUGGACAAUGGGCGAAAGCCUGAUCCAGCAAUGCCGCGUGAGUGAUGAAGGCCUUAGGGUUGUAAAGCUCUUUUACCCGGGAUGAUAAUGACAGUACCGGGAGAAUAAGCUCCGGCUAACUCCGUGCCAGCAGCCGCGGUAAUACGGAGGGAGCUAGCGUUGUUCGGAAUUACUGGGCGUAAAGCGCACGUAGGCGGCUUUGUAAGCUAGAGGUGAAAGCCUGGAGCUCAACUCCAGAACUGCCUUUAAGACUGCAUCGCUUGAAUCCAGGAGAGGUGAGUGGAAUUCCGAGUGUAGAGGUGAAAUUCGUAGAUAUUCGGAAGAACACCAGUGGCGAAGGCGGCUCACUGGACUGGUAUUGC